rnacentral:rRNA from 1 species
CCUACGGGAGGCAGCAGUGAGGAAUAUUGGUCAAUGGAGGAGAGUCUGAACCAGCGAAGUAGCGUGAAGGAUGACUGACCUAUGGGUUGUAAACUUCUUUUAUAUGGGAAUAAAAUGUUCCACGUGUGGGAUUUUGUAUGUACCAUAUGAAUAAGGAUCGGCUAACUCCGUGCCAGCAGCCGCGGUAAUACGGAGGAUACGAGCGUUAUCCGGAUUUAUUGGGUUUAAAGGGAGCGUAGGUGGAUUGUUAAGUCAGUUGUGAAAGUUUGCGGCUCAACCGUAAAAUUGCAGUUGAAACUGGCAGUCUUGAGUACAGUAGAGGUGGGCGGAAUUCGUGGUGUAGCGGUGAAAUGCUUAGAUAUCACGAAGAACUCCGAUUGCGAAGGCAGUUCACUGGACUGCAACUGACACUGAGGCUCGAAAGUGUGGGUAUCAAACAGGAUUAGAUACCCGUGUAGUC